rnacentral:rRNA from 1 species
AGGAAAAGAAAUCAACCGAGAUUCCCCCAGUAGCGGCGAGCGAACGGGGAGGAGCCCAGAGCCUGAAUCAGCAUGUGUGUUAGUGGAAGCGUCUGGAAAGGCGCGCGAUACAGGGUGACAGCCCCGUACACAAAAGCGCAUGUGCUGUGAGCUCGAUGAGUAGGGCGGGACACGUGGUAUCCUGUCUGAAUAUGGGGGGACCAUCCUCCAAGGCUAAAUACUCCUGACUGACCGAUAGUGAACCAGUACCGUGAGGGAAAGGCGAAAAGAACCCCGGCGAGGGGAGUGAAAAAGAACCUGAAACCGUGUACGUACAAGCAGUGGGAGCACCCUUUGGGUGUGACUGCGUACCUUUUGUAUAAUGGGUCAGCGACUUAUAUUCUGUAGCAAGGUUAACCGAAUAGGGGAGCCGGAGGGAAACCGAGUCUUAACCGGGCGUUAAGUUGCAGGGUAUAGACCCGAAACCCGGUGAUCUAGCCAUGGGCAGGUUGAAGGUUGGGUAACACUAACUGGAGGACCGAACCGACUAAUGUUGAAAAAUUAGCGGAUGACCUGUGGCUGGGGGUGAAAGGCCAAUCAAACCGGGAGAUAGCUGGUUCUCCCCGAAAGCUAUUUAGGUAGCGCCUCGUGAAUUCAUCUCCGGGGGUAGAGCACUGUUUCGGCUAGGGGGCCAUCCCGGCUUACCAACCCGAUGCAAACUGCGAAUACCGGAGAAUGUUAUCACGGGAGACACACGGCGGGUGCUAACGUCCGUCGUGAAGAGGGAAACAACCCAGACCGCCAGCUAAGGUCCCAAAGUCAUGGUUAAGUGGGAAACGAUGUGGGAAGGCCCAGACAGCCAGGAUGUUGGCUUAGAAGCAGCCAUCAUUUAAAGAAAGCGUAAUAGCUCACUGGUCGAGUCGGCCUGCGCGGAAGAUGUAACGGGGCUAAACCAUGCACCGAAGCUGCGGCAGCGACACUGUGUGUUGUUGGGUAGGGGAGCGUUCUGUAAGCCUGUGAAGGUGUGUCGUGAGGCAUGCUGGAGGUAUCAGAAGUGCGAAUGCUGACAUAAGUAACGAUAAAGCGGGUGAAAAGCCCGCUCGCCGGAAGACCAAGGGUUCCUGUCCAACGUUAAUCGGGGCAGGGUGAGUCGACCCCUAAGGCGAGGCCGAAAGGCGUAGUCGAUGGGAAACGGGUUAAUAUUCCCGUACUUGGUGUUACUGCGAAGGGGGGACGGAGAAGGCUAUGUUGGCCGGGCGACGGUUGUCCCGGUUUAAGCGUGUAGGUGUGUGUUCCAGGUAAAUCCGGUUCACUUUAACACUGAGGCGUGACGACGAGGCACUACGGUGCUGAAGCAACAAAUGCCCUGCUUCCAGGAAAA